rnacentral:rRNA from 1 species
GUGUGCGAUCAUAUUAAUACGUAUGCAUCGGAUCCCAUCAGAACUUCGAAGUUAAGCGUGCUUGUGAUAGAAUGGUACUAAGACGAGCUUUGUCACAGGAC